UGAAGUAUAAGAAUAUAAGAGUGUAGCAGAAUAGAGUGUAAGCAGAGUGAAAUGGAAUGAAAGAGUGCAAUGAAAUAUAAGAGUUGAUCCACAAUAAUAUUAGGGUGAACUACGUCCAUAGAGAACUUUUUCAUAAAAUCUUAGUAAUUUAGGGCAAAAAUUAUCAUUCCCAAUCCCCAACUUUAAUCCCAAGCCCACUUACCAAAUAUAGAACUUAUUUGAGAAUUAAAUUAUCAUUCCCAAUUUUCCACCUCAUAAUCCGCAUACCAAACACCUCGACUCCUGAGUAAUUUGAUUAGAUCAUUCAUUUGUAAUACAUGGAGAUUGAAAGAACAAACCCUUGAUAAGGAGCUGAGUUGAACAAAUAGAGUGAAGUUUAAGGAGGCGCAGGCUACCUCCAGCAGAUUUUUCAGUGUAUAUUUUCAGAUUUCUCAGGCGAACACCAGCGUUUACUAGCAUAAUCAUUUGAGACGCGCUAUUAUUUGAAACCAUCCGUUAAAAGUUGAACAAACUAGUGAUGUUCAUUUGUUCUAUUUUCUAUUCACACUAUCCGUUUAAGAAGGUUGGCUCAGAUAGUACAGCCAACAGCACUGAGGAUUCAACUAAACUGGAGCAAGAAAGACAAUGUCAAGACCUUGAGGGAUCUAUGCAGCUUGCUGAGCAACCAUCUAAUGAAGCUAACAAAACUCAACUUGUUACUGAUGAUGAGUUGAUUAAUGGGAAGAUAGGUGGGCUGUGCAGUACCAAGACUACCAAAUCACAAGAUCGAAGAUACUACCAAGGGCACAUCAGCUACCUUACUGCAGUGGUCAAUCACUAGCCAAGCUUGUGAUCAUUUAGUUCAGCCCGCCCAUUAGUACCUCAUGUUCGUUUAAAUAACCGGUUGUUCCCGUCUCCUUUACAUUUUACCGUUGGCUACCAAAGCCUAUAUAUAUAGGCCAAUUUGUCAUUUUAAACACUAGUUUUUGAUUCUCAAUAAAAUUCUAAGAAUUUGUCUUUCCUUUCAAAGAGUGUGAGUAAAACAUUCUUUUCUGAUUUUGUGAGUAAAGCAAGAUCAACACCUUCAUUUGAUUAAGGAGGAAGUCUCAAUCAAAUCAAGGAGAAUUGAUUGUCUUGGUGAGUAAAGCCAAUACAAGCCAAUACAGGAUAUUCAUUCUAUCCAGUUCUUCAUAAGGCUGUUAACAUAAGUGAAAAUUGGUGUCUAUGUAAGUUCUUGAACAUCACAUUAUGAAAUGUGAGGACGGGAUUUUGAAGAAUCUGUGACAACCAGGAUUAAACACACCCAAUUUUAGUCCUUUAAUUACUCGUGCUAACAUGAGCUAUUUAAUAAUCACUAUAUGUAAGAUGUAUGUAUGUAAUAGUAGUUGAUUACCCGUGUUAAACACGAUAUACAAAUAUUUAUUUUAUCAAAAAUUGAAUAAAAUAUAAAUACUCCAACAUAUGUAAUGGAGUACAUACACAAGAUACAUGCUUAUUUUGCUUCGUAGACCAAGCAACUUAUACAAAUGAAAAUAAAGAGCACUUGUAAGAUAAGGAAAAUAUAUUCUUGAAUAACCCAAAACACGAAGCUUCUCUCUCCUUUUGACAUUCGAACAUAAAUUCAAUUUCUUAUCAAUUUUCAACUUAUCUUUUAAUCAAAUCUCUCCUUGAGAUACUUAAACUCCUAUAUCAUCUGUAGUUCUUAACAAUUCUAAUUCUUCAAAUUCAACUAUACUUAUAAUAUACUCCCUUUAUUUACCCAAUUUAAUUUUUAACAUAUUUUUAUAAUAUUCAUAAUUUAAAUCAUUUCAAAUAUAUAAAUUACAUCAUAAUCAAUUGUGAUCUUAAUUGAUUCAUUACAGUGCAAUUUAUUAAUAUCAACUUUUUAUAAUUUUUAAUUAUGCACAAUAAAAAGAAUUAGGACAUCGAUUAAUAUAUUUGAAAAUGUGCACAAACCAAGUGAAGACAAAGAUAGUAAAGUCAUCAUAUCAUAUCAUACAAUAUACUAAAGAAACAUCUCUUAAUUUUAAAUGACACUUUUCAAUCAUGAGUACUUGGCGAAAUAUAAUUAAUUUAAAGAAAGUUACCCAUUUCAUUUUUAAUAAUAAUAAGUUUAUUUAUUUUUAUUUGACAUCUUUUGUCUUUGCUUCGCAAUAUAAAACAACUAUUUUUGCAAUUAGCCACUUACUCGAUAAAGUUAUUUAUCAACCUCAUUUUGUAAACAUUUUAGUAUAUAGAAUGAUGACUAAUAAUAUAAUAUACAAUAUAAUAAAGAGGCAUACUCAAUUUAGAGCUAGAAAAUGUCACACUAAUUUGUAUUAAUAUAUAGAAGAUAAAUUUUAAAUAGAAAAUUUGUUUUCAAUCUUACUAAAAUCACAUAUAAGAUUCCAAUGCAUAUAAAAGGAAGAAAAUUUGUUUUCAAUCUUACUAAAAUCACAUAUAAUAUUUCAACACAUAUAAAGAUAUAAAUCUCCUUAAUCUUAAAUAGGCAAAAUUGAUAGUCAAACUUAUUGCAAUUGUAUGCAUUAAUGUAUAGUAAUCUUGUCAUGAAAGUUACAAUAAAGUUAUAAGAAAGUAUAUGUGAGAAGCUAAUUUGAGUGGAAAAAGUUUUUACCAGAGGAUGACACGUGUUAUUAGGUGGUCUUUGCUUCAGUAUAUAGAAUGAUGAUUUUAAUUUUUUUGCGAAAACUAUCUUAUAUGACCCAAACGUACAAAACACUUUCAGGUGACGGAAUCCGUUUGUUGACCGUUAUGUUUUUUUUUACCAAAACACGUUUUUUGCACGUGAUGUUACUAAAUGUUCCUUUUCCUCCAUAUUUGUUCUAUUUUUCCCUCUAAUUUCCUGUUCUUCCCCCUUUUCCCUUCCACUAUGUUAUUUGGACUCGGGUAAAGAUAUCAGAUAUGGGUGUGGUUAGUAUUUAUGAAAUUACAGCUAUGUUCUCAAGCCAAACUUUUCCAUGUCUAUUGAUGUUUAACUAGGUACUCUUACAAGAGUUCUAAAAUUGAAGAGAAAAUAAAGCAGCCAUGCAUAGAGAAAGAAAACUCUGAGCUUCAUUGUGAAACUAAUAUUUGAGGAGCUUUCUAUUGUUUGCAAGUAACACAAUAACACCCAUGUACUCGAGCAGAAAUUUUUCCUAUAAUAAUGUCUAAUUAAAAAAUAUUUCCCAAUCCACAUCAAAUGAGAAAUUAUUUCCGUCAGUACUGUCCAUGUAGGACUGGUGAGAAAAAAAAUUUCUUUUUCCUUUUUUUUUUUUUUUAUAAAACCGCUACUUGGAAAAGCGGUUUGUUUAGGAAUCAUAAUAAAACAGCUACUUGAAAAAGCGGUUUGUAGUACACAAAUUUUUUUUACAAAAAAAAAUAUAUUAUUUAGGUAAACCGCCAUCUGAAGUGGCGGUUUUAGUGUUGUAUAAAACUGUCUGUUGCCUUCAUUUUCACUCCAAUUCAUUUGUUCCCCACUUGCUUCUGCCGGUUCUCUUAAAAAAAAAUCUACUCUCCACAUUUACUUCAUAUUCACAAUUCCUCUCCUUCAACUAAAUCAAUCAACUACAUUGCCAUCUUCUUCUUCAUUACUUGUUCAUUAUCAUCUUCAUUUAAGGUAUGAACAUUACCCUAAAUUUUUUCAAAAUGCAAAUUGAUUUUUUUGUUCAUAAUUGUUGUGAUUUGAACUUAUGAUACGUCGAUUUGAAGUUGUUCAUGAUUUAUGCUUGUAUUUUACACAUUUCUAGUUGAAUUUUAUGAUUUGUUUUGUAUGCAUAUAAAGUGUUCGAUAAAAUGCUACAAUGAAAUUUUACUACUUUGUAGGCUUAGUUUAAUGGAGUUAGUAUAUAUUCAUGGUAUUGUUAGUUUUAUAUUUGGAAUUGACCCUUCUAAUAAGUGUUGUAAUACUUUAUUAUUAUACAUUCUUGUAUACAAAUUUAUACUUACUUUCCUUACUCACAAUGAACAAUAAAGUGUAUGUGAAAUCACAUGAAAAACAUGCUUGUGUGUGUAGAAUAUGGAUCAUUAUCCCGUUAUAGUGUAUUGGGGAGGGGAAGUUAGUUAUACGGGAUCCGAUAUUGUGUAUAAGGGAGGAUUGAAUGCACUGAUGUUUAUCCAUCGUCAAAAUACUACUUUUAAGGUGUUUUAUAGCAAAGUUUAUGAUGUAAUUGGUUGUGAUCGCAACUCUAUAUUAAAAAUAGAGAUGAAAUAUCCGGUGACUGGGAAUAAUGUGUUACUCACGGUUAAGAAUGAUGAAAGUAUAAGUGCUCUUACUUAUGCGGCAUCACAAGCCCCUAGAACGGCAAAGGAGGUUUAUGUUGAAAUGGUUGCGAAUUUGGAUAAUGCGAGGGAAGUCAUGACUAGCGUGGAACUUCCAGAAUCAGGUCCUAGUGUACGCCAUGAUACAUUCACAGAAAUGUUAACAAACCCAAAACGUUAAUGAGCACUUAGAUGAGUUGAAUUCUCCAACUCAUUCACGUGCCAUUGGUUGUGGUGCAAUGAACACGUUCUCCACGACUCACUUGGGUAGGUGUAAUGCCAACGAGGUUGAGUCUUUAGAUCAGGAGGAUGAGCAUAUUGAUUCUGAUUCAGAGGAGGAUGAUGAAAAAAGAGAAGCUCUAGAUGUAGUGAUUAGAGAUGGUGUUCCAUCUCAAGACUAGCUAAAAAUUGAUGAGGUUGAUCAAAGAUUGAUUGAUGCAUGGAUGCAGUUAUUGGUCAUGGAGAGAGAGAGUGGUUAGCCUUGGUUUGGGAGUUGUUAGGGGUAUGGCCGGAAAACCCUCAAGACCCUACAGAGACAAAGAUCAUCAUUGGAUCUUCAUUGAAGCUGACUUGGCUUCGGGAUCGCUUUCGUGUGCUGGGGCCAGAUGCAGAUGAGGUUACUAUUGAGAGGCAUGCCCGCGCAUAUAUUUUGUAUUUUUUGGUUGCAUCUUGUUCCCAGACAAAAGCAAGGACUCCGUACAGUUGAUCUACCUCCCCUUAUUGCGAGACUUACGACGCGUAGCAGAUUACAGUUGGGGGAGCGCGACCCUAGCAUACUUGUAUCGUAACCUGUUUAGGGCAUUCCGUAAGGGUGCCAAGGCCAUAGCGGGGUGCCUUUUACUCUUACAGAUAUGGUCGUGGGAGCAUAUACAUAUAGGGAGGCAAGUAAUUCGGAUGGUUCGACCCCAAUUUGAUGACGUAGCCGAUCCCAAUGUAGAUCCGGUCUUAGGUUCACAGCAUCAACGUGGUAUGGAUCCUUUAGUAGUAAGCUGGCUUCAAGUACAUCUUUUCCGGUCACACUCUCCACAUACUCUAGUCUACUACCGAGACUCCCUGGAUCGACAAAGGGACGAUCAAUGACAUGGCAGCCAUACACGGUGGCUAAGAUGGAGGCUUUGCCUGACAUAUGUAGAGAUAGCCAAGUGAUAUGGCGAUCCCGGUGUCCUCUAAUUUGCUUUUGACAUAGUAGAGUUUCAUUUUCCGGAUCGUGUCAUGCGCCAGUUCAGAUUGGAGCAGCCUCUUCUGGAUGCUUGUGACACCCAAGGUAACUUCCUUGUUCGACAUCGAUCGCACGUUGAUGCACGAAAUGCUCGAGAAAGCGUGAUGGUGCAAGGAGAGAACUACACAGGUCAGAGCUUGGGUAUGUACAUGGCGUGGUACAGGCAGAUCACGAUAUUGCGCCUCACGAACCCUACAUUUGCACAGCCAUCAUCGCACUAUCAUCCUACUGCUACAAUAUUGGCUGAGCGCAUAAGAUCAGUUCUAGUACAGUGUAGUGACGCAACACAAGGUGCCUCUGCGUUGCCUGUUGAUGUGAGGUAUUGCCUAUGUACUCAGACCUUGGGCUCCAUCAACACGUCGUUAAGUGGAGGCCUUAAGUCUAACGGGGUAUGAUUACCUUAUUCCCACCCGUCCCACUACCAUUGAUGAUGACACGUUGCACACUCCUUCCACUUCAGGUUCUCAUCACAGAGUUAGUUCUUCACGAGGUUCUAGUAGAGGUUCAUCAAGAGGAUCUGGUCGUUUAUCUAGUCGAGGUCGAUCCUUGGAAUCUUCAUCACCCUCUACAGGCACUAUGUCGUCAUUUGUUCCCUCAGGGCCUGUGUUCACUCCUUCAUAUCCAUUGCCUCCUAACCGGAUCUUGACGUAUCAACGUGCUAGUCAGCAACGAGCGCCUCCUCUUGAAGUCAUCAAAGAGGCUGAGGAGUCCACAUCGACCUUUACAACCGAUGUACGCACCAAACGGGGUCGGGGAGUCUAGAUUAGUUGACUUGGGAUGUUUGUUGUACAUAUUCAACUUACGUAUUAUUUUGGAUGGUCGUUAUGUAAUAUAUAUGCGCUCUUUUCAUUUGUCAUGAGUACUGGAGGAGCUUGUUGGUUCAUUUGUUAUGUAAUAUGAAGUAUUAAAUUAUUUUAAU